GGAGAGGUGGCCGAGCGGCCGAAGGCGCACGCUUGGAAAGCGUGUAUACGGCAACGUAUCGUGGGUUCGAAUCCCACCCUCUCCGCCA
rnacentral:tRNA from 1 species